rnacentral:rRNA from 1 species
UACGUAGGUGGCAAGCGUUAUCCGGAAUUAUUGGGCGUAAAGCGCGCGCAGGUUGGUUCUUAAGUCUGAUGUGAAAGCCCACGGCUCAACCGUGGAGGGUCAUUGGAAACUGGGAGACUUGAGUGCAGAAGAGGAAAGUGGAAUUCCAUGUGUAGCGGUGAAAUGCGUAGAGAUAUGGAGGAACACCAGUGGCGAAGGCGACUUUCUGGUCUGUAACUGACACUGAGGCGCGAAAGCGUGGGGAGCAAACAGG